CUCCAGCCCAGCUUUGGGUCCAGGUUAAGCGCCCACAAGCCUUUGUCCUGGAUUUGGGACUCUUGGGCCUUACCUGCAGGUCCUGAGCCCAGCUGGUCCUGGAACUGUUCUAUCUGCCUUAUAGGGCAGUGUCCAUCCUUCUCCGGGCCUGCUCUCUGUCUCCCCAGCACAGGAGUCUUCCAGCUUCUUAAGUGGGCCUUGGAGUUACAGAGGAUGCUAAUUCUGCCCAUCCCCCUCCACCUUCCACCACUGCAGCUAAUCCAUCUCCAGCUUGUCCUGAAUUCUUACAGGGGGGCUCAAGGUGGCAUCACUAUCAGAAAAUGUUAAGAGUGAGAAGAAAAUCCUGGGAGAUGGCUGGAUCCCACCUACUCUUUCUGCUGAGCAUCACUGUUGUUGCUGCUGGCUGAGCACCCAGCCCUCCAUGAACUUUGACUAGCACCCACUCACUGUGCCAACGGGCUGAGCAUCAUGAUACAGAAGUGAGAUCAGAGGUUAUAUUGCAAAAAGGACAUGUCCUACAGCACCUAGAACCAGAAGUGAAUGAGCAAGAAAGACAAAGAAGGUUUGAAAUGGGGCUGUCAGAAGCUUGUCUGGGGAAGAGUCUUCCAGUCGUCACGUGUGUGAAAUUUGUAAAUGGAGGAUUCAGUUCUCACAGACCCAAGAUGGAGCUUCUCUCUCUUGGCAAUAUAUUUGAUUAUGCAGUGAAAUCAUACAACUCAUAUAAGAAGGAAACUUGGUAGUGGUUUUUCCAAGUUAGACAACAAUCUUAAAAAUUGACAUCACAUUAUCAAUGAGUUUUGAAGCCAAAACAAACUUUUUAAAGCUAUGAAUAAUUAAAAAUGAUUUUGCUCACCUAUGCUAGAGGAAAGCCUAUCUUUCUAUUCUUUCUUAGACACUGAUAUAAAAUCGUUGUCAUAUAAAGAGGUGAUCAUAGAGUAU
rnacentral:lncRNA from 1 species